rnacentral:lncRNA from 1 species
GUUUUCCAAGAGGUGAAGAGAAUGCAUUAUCAUGGGGUUCUUCUUUAAGUCUCUCUCCAUACUUGGGGGUCUCCUUUGAUUGGAGAGAACAAUAUAGAGACUUCAGACAACAUGUGUCAACAACAAGAAUCAAGAGUCUUCAGAUGACAGUACUGAAAGGACUGCUAAGAAUCAUCACACAGAGUGUGUCUCUAACAAACUAAAAAUAGG